UUGGCCGCACCGCCACGUCUUGAUAAAUCUGGACUCUUUCCACGCACUGGGCUGGAAAAGUGCAUCAAGAUGUGGCCUGCACCAGUGCUUCUGCUCGUCCAGUCGGCUCUGCUGAUUCAAGGAUCUUCCGCCCAGGAUUUGUUGACCCAGACGGACAAAAUCAAGUAUGUCAGUCUACAUGGGACGGUGACCAUCAGCGCCAAAGGGAGUUCAAAUACUGGUGCUCUUCUCAGUUGGUACCAAGUGAAACCUGGACAGGUUCCUAAACUUCUGAUCUAUGAUGCAACAAGUCGCUUUACUGGAACACCAUCUCGAUUCAGUGGCACACGAUCUGGCUCUGACUACACUCUGACUAUCAGUGGUGUUCAGACAGACGAUGUCGCUGAUUACUACUGUUUUGCCGAGUUUGGACGUGGAAGGUUUACACGGUGAUUGAGAGCUGUACAAAAACCUCCUUUGGUUAGAGGGAAGUGAAAGUGGAAGAUGUGAUGAUGACUGGUCCACUGAACAAAGAUCACCAAGCAGAACCAGCGUCAACUUGAACAAGUUGAUUGGCUUGUAAGAAAAAGUUGAAAUGAGGGAAGAAGAAGUCACACUGUUCUGUCCCAUAAACAUUCUAUACCAGGGGUCUUCAAACUUUUCCAGGCCAAAGACAAUAAAGAUGGAGUGAGGACGCCCUGGCUUGUAUAAAAUUAUAUAAUUAUUCAAAUGAAAUUGUACUAAAUGAUAUUAUUAUUAUAAAUUAAAAUUAUACUGGCCCUGAAGGUACUUUUAGGUUUCAUACCUGAAAUCUACAUGAAUUAACUCCUAAGUCACUCACAUUAAAACGAAUAUUGCUAAUGUAAAUACAAACCCCGUUUCCAUAUGAGUUGGGAAAUGGUGUUAGAUGUAAAUAUAAACAGAAUACAAUGAUUUGCAAAUCCUUUUCAACCCAAAUACAGUUGAAUAUGCUACAAAGACAACAUAUUUGAUGUUCAAACUCAAUCAAUCAAUCAAUGUUUAUUUAUAUAGCCCUAAAUCACUAGUGUCUCAAAGGGCUGCACAGACCACUAUGACAUCCUCUGCAGGCCCACAUAAGGGCAAGUAAAACUCACACCCAGUGGGACGUCGGCAAAUAAUAAUUAACUUAGAAUUUCAUGGCUGGAACAUGUGCCAAAGUAGUUGGGAAAGGGCAUGUUCACCACUGUGUUACAUCACCUUUUCUUUUAACAACACUCAAUAAACGUUUGGGAACUGAGGAAACUAAUUGUUGAAGCUUUGAAAGUGGAAUUCUUUUCCAUUCUUGUUUUAUGUAGAGCUUCAGUCCUUCAACAGUCCGGGGUCUCCGCUGUCAAUCAAUCAAUCAAUGUUUAUUUAUAUAGCCAUAAUGCGCCACACAUUUUCCAUGGGAGACAGGUCUGGACUGCAGGCGGGCCAGGAAAGUACCCGCACUCUUUUACUACGAAGCCACGCUGUUGUAACACUUGUCUUGCUGAAAUAAGCAGGGGCGUCCACAAUAACGUUGCUUGGAUGACAACAUAUGUUGCUCCAAAACCUGUAUGGACCUUUCAGCAUUAAUGGUGCCUUCACAGAUGUGUAAGUUACCCAUGCCUUGGGCACUAAUACACCCCCAUACCAUCACACAUGUGUAAGUUACCCAUGCCUUGGGCACUAAUACACCCCCAUACCAUCACACAUGUGUAAGUUACCCAUGCCUUGGGCACUAAUACACCCCCAUACCAUCACA